GACGAACGCUGGCGGCGUGCCUAAUACAUGCAAGUAGAACGCUGAAGAGAGGAGCUUGCUCUUCUUGGAUGAGUUGCGAACGGGUGAGUAACGCGUAGGUAACCUGCCUUGUAGCGGGGGAUAACUAUUGGAAACGAUAGCUAAUACCGCAUAACAAUAGGUGACACAUGUCAUUUAUUUGAAAGGGGCAAUUGCUCCACUACAAGAUGGACCUGCGUUGUAUUAGCUAGUAGGUGAGGUAACGGCUCACCUAGGCGACGAUACAUAGCCGACCUGAGAGGGUGAUCGGCCACACUGGGACUGAGACACGGCCCAGACUCCUACGGGAGGCAGCAGUAGGGAAUCUUCGGCAAUGGGGGCAGCCCUGACCGAGCAACGCCGCGUGAGUGAAGAAGGUUUUCGGAUCGUAAAGCUCUGUUGUAAGUCAAGAACGAGUGUGAGAGUGGAAAGUUCACACUGUGACGGUAGCUUACCAGAAAGGGACGGCUAACUACGUG
rnacentral:rRNA from 1 species